GUGCGGCCUCAAUAUUCAGGCGGCGUCCUAAGCGAAAACAACACAAACAAAUCAGGCGCAGCCGCGAUUUCCCUGGUGUUGGCGCAGUAUUCGCGCACCCCGGUUAAGC
rnacentral:sRNA from 1 species